rnacentral:rRNA from 1 species
UGGGGAAUAUUGGGCAAUGGAGGAAACUCUGACCCAGCGACGCCGCGUGCGGGAUGAAGGCCUUCGGGUUGUAAACCGCUUUCAGUAGGGAAGAAGCGAAAGUGACGGUACCUACAAAAGAAGCACCGGCUAACUAUGUGCCAGCAGCCGCGGUAAUACAUAGGGUGCAAGCGUUGUCCGGAAUUAUUGGGCGUAAAGAGCUCGUAGGUCGUUUGUUACGUCGGAUGUGAAAACCUGAGGCUCAACCUCAGGCCUGCAUUCGAUACGGGCAAACUAGAGUUUGGUAGGGGAGACUGGAAUUCCUGGUGUAGCGGUGGAAUGCGCAGAUAUCAGGAGGAACACCAAUGGCGAAGGCAGGUCUCUGGGCCAAUACUGACACUGAGGAGCGAAAGUCUGGGGA